UCGAGUUUACAACUCCCAAACCCUUAUGUGAACAUACCUACUGUUGCUUCGGCGGACUCGCCCCGGCGUCCGGACGGCCUCGCGCCGCCCGCGGCCCGGACCCAGGCGGCCGCCGGAGACCUCUAAACUCUGUAUUAUCAGCAUUUUCUGAAUCCGCCGCAAGGCAAAACAAAUGAAUCA
rnacentral:misc_RNA from 1 species